rnacentral:rRNA from 1 species
UACGGGGGGGGCAAGCGUUGUUCGGAAUUACUGGGCGUAAAGCGUGCGUAGACGGUUAUUUAAGUCGGGUGUGAAAGCCCCGGGCUCAACCUGGGAAUUGCAUUCGAGACUGAAUAGCUAGGGUACGGUAGAGGGAAGCGGAAUUUCCGGUGUAGCGGUGAAAUGCGUAGAUAUCGGAAGGAACAUCAGUGGCGAAAGCGGCUUCCUGGACCAGUACCGACGUUCAGGCACGAAAGCGUGGGGAGCAAAUAGG